CAAAACACUGAGGAACGAAGGGCAAACCCUAGCCGCCUUCGUUCCUCUUCUCUCUCUCAUGAUGCCAUAUGCUGGAAAUAGCAAAGUUGUGGGCCCUCAAUGCGUGGUGUUGACUCGGCAUGGCUGAGAAUGGAAAGAGCCUUUAUUGCUCUGCCAUAUCUCAACCAAAUUCGCCAUAUUCAACCCAAACAAGUCCGAUGAAAAGGAAGCUAAUAUUUGCAUUGAAGGCCCACCUAUGAGGGAAAAUAGGCAACUGGUAGGCUUAGGUAGGCCCACCAGCCUAAACUUUCCUCAUUAUUUUUCUUUAGUAUAUUCAUAUGUAUUUGCAAAAAAAAAAAAAACACUUGUAUAAUAUUGAAACUGUUGUGAAUGUUAGAACUUAGGAAAACAUUAGUAUUAUUAGGAAGUCGCCCAAAUGAUUUUCAAA